CUUGGGUUGGUGGCGCAGCGCGUGGGCGAGGGGCCGGCCGGCCCUGGACAGAGCAGCUACACUAUAUUUAGCCCUGGGAGCUGGGCAAGCCGGCGAGGGAGGGGCAAGGGCCAGCUCCUGCCCAGGCUGGAGAGCCUGGAGCACAGGGUGACAAGGGUGAAGUGGUCGGGACGAGAUUCAGAGGAUGCUCCGGACCUGGAGGGGCGGUGACUGCUGGAGGCACGAGUAGGGGCCGGGACCAGACCGGCAGGUACCUGGGAUGGAACUUGGGUCUAUUGCACUUGCAAGAGAGGUGGCCGAACCGCUGAGCUAAAUUCCCAGCUCCAGGUUCAGAGUUCUAAUGAGACACUCAAAGGUAAUGUGAAUUGAGCUUUGAGUGAAUUUGGCAGUGGUUUCAAAGUGUAUUCUUUUUCAUUAAGUGGCUCUAUCAACUAUUGAUUGAGGUCUCUGACCUUUUCUUUUUGUGGGUUGUUUUGUUUUGAGACGGGGUCUUGCUGUAUAUAGUUCAGGCUGAUUAUUUUUAUGACUGAAUAAAAGCCAUGUUGGGGAUUAGAAAAAUCAACACAUGUGAUAGAGUAUCAUAUUAAUUUUUUUGUUUUGUUUUGUUUUAGUGAGAGGGGGUUUUGCUAUGUAGUUGAGAUUAGGCUGGCCUUGAACUCACUAUGUAGCCCAGGCUGCUCUCACACUCAGCGAUCCUCCUGCCUCAGCCUCCAGAGUGCCUAGAUUUCAGGCAUGUGCCAUCACACCCAGCAGACCUUUUCUGUUUGGAGACAGUCUUGUAUAUAGCCCAGGGUGGCCUCAAAUUCAGUCCUCCUGCCCCAGCCUCCACAAUGCUAGGAUGAGGUCAGGCUCUUUAUUUUUUUAAUUGUAUUUAUUUAUUUUGGUACCAGGGAUAGAACUCCCGUCCUCUUACUUGUGAGGCAGGCGUGCUGGAACUACUGAGCUUUUAUCUCUGGCCCAGGCUCUUUAUUUUUUGAUGUCAGACUUCCCACUCUGCCCAUUCUAGUUCCUGAGACUACAAUGUAUUCUUUAAAAAAAACAAAACAAAACAAACCAAACGGUUUCUGCAUUCAGUUUUAUUUGCUGUGCAGAGAUCAAACCCAGG
rnacentral:lncRNA from 1 species